rnacentral:rRNA from 1 species
AUGUUCUGGAACAUGUGGGUUUUAAAGAAUUGCAACAGAAAAAACUCUGCAUUUUUGGUAUUUGCACUUUGCAAGCACAAAUUUAGUCUGAAGUUGUAUCUGCUACUUGUGGAAUUUGGUAUUGCGAAUUAUUUGCGCAAUAAACUUCCUCUGCUAAUUGUUGCAUUUAGCAGUUGGAUGCUAGUCGAUGUGCUUUCUGAGAGCACGAUUGCUACAGAACGUCACUCCCUGAGAAGAGUGACAGCUGAUGGCUGUUACAAAAGUUGCAUGAUUUGUACAGAUUCUUUAUUUCCUAGGCUGUGGAUCUCUUGGCAAGCAUCUGAUGGUCAGAGGUAA